ensembl:lncRNA
CCUGUCCAGCUCGUAUGAUAAGGAACUUGUUCCUAGCUACAAAAACCAGAAUAUUCUGGUGGAAGCCUCUUCAUCAGACCUUUGCAUUAUGCAGUGCUUUUCACAUUUUGAGCUCUAAAUUCCCUCAUGCAGAAGUGCCAUAUGCAGUCUUUGAAAGCUUUUUUGAAGGAAUCCGUGAUUCUUCAGCCGCUUUGCCAUCUUCUCCAGAGGUGUGCUGAGGAUUUCACACAACACAGCAGGAGGCACGUAAGAGAACUGUUGAGCCACCAGAUCUAUGGCAGACCAUCGAUCCAACCAGGUGCACUGCUCUUCUGGGGUUCUGCUGUUUGGAUAUUCACCAACACCUUUGCAUUUCCUAUUAUAUUACUGAGCAGCCUGGGGUUUUGGAGUAUUAUUAUUAUUAUUUCAUUUUAUUUUUUCCUCAUGAAAAUGCUCAGACAUUGGUAGUAGACACAUGGCACAACUGUCCCAUUAACCAUGGAGCUCCACGACCAGCAGCCCCACAGACACACAGCUCAGGCAGCACCAAUGCCUGUAACGUCAGCGCUCCUCCCUCCGGCCCCCUCUAGCUUCACCCAGCUGGUUUAAAUAGCGAGGAGAAAUUAAAAUUCUUCAAGCCUUGCAGGAUGUUUGGAUUUCUGCCCUUUAUUUCCACUUCUGUGAGCCACGGUUUGAAAACGUGCCCGUGAUUUAUUCGUUCCCCAGUCCUAUUGCUGUGUACAGCAGCGCCCAGGAGCGCCCACAGCAUUAUGCCAUGACCCGAUGCCAAACAUCACUCACUACAAGCACGUGGUGAACUGCUCGGGGCUCUUUAUUAGCUGAUUUCAGGCGAUCUUUCCUGUUUUACAGCGCGACUCCUCCCCUCUUUCCAGAUUUCUGCUAUUCUUUCCUAAUUCUAGUGAUUUGAGAAAUGACCUUUAACCCACGCAGUCUGCAGACUCCUAAAGGGGAUAAUUGAAAUGCCACAGUAAACCAAAGGCAAUAAAAUAUUAUUUACCAUGCAUAAAACUAAGGUUGGCCUUCCCCACAGCAACGAACCCCUUUAUCUCCCCCUCCCCCUAUACACCCACCUCCCACUCCGGGUGCCCGGUGCCGCACCUCAAUUUACCCGAGGAGCGAACCCGGGAUGCCCCAUGGGACGGCUCCCCGCGCCGGGCACCGAACGGAGCCGCAGCACGGGACUGCGGGCGGGCAGGAGCCGGGGGCGGUGGGUGGAAAGGGCUUUGCCUGGGGACAGUGCCUACCUGGAAGGCUGC